rnacentral:rRNA from 1 species
GUGUCAGCCGCCGCGGUAAUACGUAGGGUGCGAGCGUUGUCCGGAAUUACUGGGCGUAAAGAGCUCGUAGGCGGCUUGUCGCGUUGUUCGUGAAAAUUUACCGCUCAACGGUGAACUUGCGGGCGAUACGGGCAGGCUAGAGUACUGCAGGGGAGACUGGAAUUCCUGGUGUAGCGGUGAAAUGCGCAGAUAUCAGGAGGAACACCGGUGGCGAAGGCGGGUCUCUGGGCAGUAACUGACGCUGAGGAGCGAAAGCGUGGGGAGCGAACAGGAUUAGAUACCCUGGUAGUCC